rnacentral:lncRNA from 1 species
UCUGUCUGUCUCAAAAGGUUUAUUUUUCAGUGCAACAUUAAUAUAAUGAUCGGUACAGAAAUGAUCCACAGACUCAGAAUGAGGUUAGAACAGUAUAAAACAUUACAACAUUACAAAUACAUUCAAAUGUCAGUGCAAAUUAAAGUGCAGACUAAGAUACCAGAACCCUAUAGAACAUUAGUGUCCAGGAACACAGAACAGAACAGUGGUGUCCAGGAACACAGAACAGUGGUGUCCAGCAACACAGAACAGUGGUGUCCAGCAACACAGAACAGUGGUGUCCAGCAACACAGAACAGUGGUGUCCAGCAACACAGAACAGUGGUGUCCAGGAACACAGAACAGUGGUGUCCAGCAACACAGAACAGUGGUGUCCAGGAACACAGAACAGUGGUGUCCAGGAACACAGAACAGUGGUGUCCAGGAACACAGAACAGUGGUGUCCAGGAACACAGAACAGAGGUGUCCAGGAACACAGAACAGACGUUUCCAGGAACACAGAACAGUGGUGUCCAGGAACACAGAACAGUGGUGUCCAGGAACACAGAACAGUGGUGUCCAGGAACACAGAACAGUGGUGUCCAGGAACACAGAACAGAGGUGUCCAGGAACACAGAACAGUGGUGUCCAGGAACACAGAACAGAACAGUGGUGUCCAGGAACACAGAACAGAGGUGUCCAGGAACACAGAACAGAGGUGUCCAGGAACACAGAACAGAGGUGUCCAGGAACACAGAACAGAACAGCAUAGAAUUAGAAUACUAGAAUGGCCAUGAACCUUCUUAUGAUGGGAUUAAGGUCAGCCAUUUUGGUCAGAGAGUUGGUCACCCAUGGAGUUACCAGUGCUGUGAUAAGAUAUUAUGUAAAAUAACCAAUGUGAAGAAUGUAUCUGCGCUCUAUGUGUGUUAGCUAGCUAGCCAGACGGUUUUAGAGGAAUGGUUUCAUUAAUUUAGUCAAAUUAAUUGCCAAUAUGUCAACAAUGUAGUCAUUCCCUCAGCCACAUCCUGUCUGAUAUCAGUUGAUGAUGGGACUUAGACAAGUUGUGAAGGCAACAAUUACUGACGUUGUAUCAUAUAAUAGCACUCGCAGCUUUAACAGGAAAACUAAAAUGUUGACAUUUAUGGUCUGUUUACAUACAUUUUAGAAGUUAUUUAUACAGAAAAUGUGUAUAAACCCUGUAUAAACUGUAUUUAUAAUUAUAUGAUGUUAUUUUAGGUUGACUAUAAUUCUAUUACAAAAUGUCUGAAAUCACAUGACAUUUUCCUGCAUGGUAAAAUCAGGACGAUGCCUCUACUGUCAUUCAUUCCAAUUAGACUGUUUUUUUGGAUUUUCUCCCUGACCAAGAUGGCUGCCAUUUUCACCUCAUUCUAGAAACUUGAGGGUUUAUGACAUAGCGCCCCUUCUAGUCAUUUAAUAGGAUCUCUAUGCAGAACAGUACAUAUAACCAUUAGUAACCCUGAGAACAGCUUCAAGGGACAGGUUUUAUAUGGCUUCACUCCAGUCCUGCAUGGUUGAACCUCACGGACCAUGAUCUAGGAGUGGGUCUGUUCUGCCGAUCCUUGCUGGUAGACAGUUCUAGAGCAGUUGUAUAUCAGAAUCCUGUUAGAAUAAUGUUCUAGGCGUGACUGUAUCCUCUGGGGUUCUGUUAGAGCAAUGUUCUAGGCGUGACUGUAUCCUCUGGGGUUCUGUUAGAAAAAUGUUCUAGGUGUGACUGUAUCCUCUGGGGUUCUGUUAGAGCAAUUUUCUAGAGCAGCUGUAUCCGUGGGUCCUGUUGUUGCAGUCUCUCUAACACACCAUAGGGAAUACACACAUUCCACAUCCUGGAGAAGGAGAGAGGAGAGAGGAGAGAGAGAGAGAGAGAGAGAGAGAGAGAGAGAGAGAGAGAGAGAGAGAGGAGAGAGAGAGAGAGAGAGAGAGAGGAGAGAGGAGAGAGGAGACAGAGAGAGAAAGAGAGAGAGAGAGAGAGAGAGACAGAGAGAGAUAAAGACAGACAGGGAGAAAGAGAGACAGAGAGAGAGAGAGAGAGAGAGAGAGACAGAGACAGGGAGGGAGACAGAGAGACAGAGAGAGAGACAGAGAGAGCGAGACAGAGAGAGAGAGAGAGGGAGAGAGAAGGGGAGGAGAAAGUGAAAGUAUUAGCACAGAGCAGAUCAGUUUCAAGGUUAAUAUUAUGCUUCCUUAGAAAACCAACUUCUU